UCCUUCAUUGGUUCAUUAGGGAGAUGAUGAUUGGUUAAUCACCUCAUUAGGUGAGAAGUGUCGUCAUAAUUUGUUACGCAUAGACACUUGACCUCUCUGAU